rnacentral:rRNA from 1 species
UACGGAGGGGGCUAGCGUUAUUCGGAAUUACUGGGCGUAAAGCGCACGUAGGCGGCUUUGUAAGUAAGAGGUGAAAGCCUGGAGCUCAACUCCAGAAUUGCCUUUUAGACUGCAUCGCUUGAAUCAUGGAGAGGUGAGUGGAAUUCCGAGUGUAGAGGUGAAAUUCGUAGAUAUUCGGAAGAACACCAGUGGCGAAGGCGGCUCACUGGACAUGUAUUGACGCUGAGGUGCGAAAGCGUGGGGAGCAAACAGG